rnacentral:rRNA from 1 species
AUGAACGCUGGCGGCGUGCCUAAUACAUGCAAGUCGAGCGAACGGACGAGAAGCUUGCUUCUCUGAUGUUAGCGGCGGACGGGUGAGUAACACGUGGAUAACCUACCUAUAAGACUGGGAUAACUUCGGGAAACCGGAGCUAAUACCGGAUAAUAUUUUGAACCGCAUGGUUCAAAAGUGAAAGACGGUCUUGCUGUCACUUAUAGAUGGAUCCGCGCUGCAUUAGCUAGUUGGUAAGGUAACGGCUUGCCAAGGCAACGAUGCAUAGCCGACCUGAGAGGGUGAUCGGCCACACUGGAACUGAGACACGGUCCAGACUCCUACGGGAGGCAGCAGUAGGGAAUCUUCCGCAAUGGGCGAAAGCCUGACGGAGCAACGCCGCGUGAGUGAUGAAGGUCUUCGGAUCGUAAAACUCUGUUAUUAGGGAAGAACAUAUGUGUAAGUAACUGUGCACAUCUUGACGGUACCUAAUCAGAAAGCCACGGCUAACUACGUG